AUUAUGGCUCAGGACGAACGCUGGCGGCGUGCUUAACACAUGCAAGUCGAACGGAAAGGCCCGCUUGCGGGUACUCGAGUGGCGAACGGGUGAGUAACACGUGGGUAACCUGCCCCCUGCUUCGGGAUAACUCCGGGAAACCGGGGCUAAUACCGGAUAUUCAUUGCCUGCCGCAUGGUGGGUGGUGGAAAGUUUUUUCGGCUGGGGAUGGGCCCGCGGCCUAUCAGCUUGUUGGUGGGGUGAUGGCCUACCAAGGCUUCGACGGGUAGCCGGCCUGAGAGGGCGACCGGCCACACUGGGACUGAGACACGGCCCAGACUCCUACGGGAGGCAGCAGUGGGGAAUAUUGCGCAAUGGGCGGAAGCCUGACGCAGCGACGCCGCGUGAGGGAUGACGGCCUUCGGGUUGUAAACCUCUUUCAGCAGGGACGAAUGUAGACGGUACCUGUAGAAGAAGCACCGGCCAACUACGUGCCAGCAGCCGCGGUAAUACGUAGGGUGCGAGCGUUGUCCGGAAUUAUUGGGCGUAAAGAGCUCGUAGGCGGUCUGUCGCGUCGAAUGUGAAAACCCGGGGCUCAACUCCGGGCUUGCAUUCGAUACGGGCAGGCUAGAGUUCGGUAGGGGAGUCUGGAAUUCCUGGUGUAGCGGUGAAAUGCGCAGAUAUCAGGAGGAACACCGGUGGCGAAGGCGGGACUCUGGGCCGAUACUGACGCUGAGGAGCGAAAGCGUGGGGAGCGAACAGGAUUAGAUACCCUGGUAGUCCACGCCGUAAACGUUGGGCGCUAGGUGUGGGGGUCCUUCCACGAUCUCCGUGCCGCAGCUAACGCAUUAAGCGCCCCGCCUGGGGAGUACGGCCGCAAGGCUAAAACUCAAAG
rnacentral:rRNA from 1 species